GCGUGGGUCGGCCCGCUGUACUGGAUCCAGUGGGCUGGGGGACACCGCCGCCUACAUCCCCGCGGGCGGCGGACCGGUCCGGGAGGCGAACUCCGCCUCCCGGACUGUG
rfam:Streptomyces sp. M41(2017) strain M41 M41_contig1, whole genome shotgun sequence.